CAAAGCACCACCAUCGGCCAUCAUCUCCCCCGUCGUUGUCUCGUAUUCGCGGUGAACCACCACCUCCGCUUUUUCGUCUUCGGUGACGUGAUUCCGUCGAUUCUCUUUUGUGUUUUUUGCUUAGAUCUAUUUAGAUCUAAUGCCUCUGUUUCCUCAUCUCUAGUGGUAUUCUUAAUCUAGAUCUGGUAAGAUCUACAACCUCCGUCGAUGUCCAUAAAACAGCUCUACUCAAACUUCCUCCUCCACCUUCCAUCGAAGCAUGUCGUUGGCCUCCAAAAGUUUUCGUUUUCAUCAUAUCUAGAGUGGUUCGGUCCAGAUCUAUUAUCUCUGGCAAUAGAUCUAUGAUCUACAACGACAAAUAUACAAUUUUUGCCUCUAAAUUUAUCCUUUUCGCCUUCAAAUCUUUGUGCUUCAACCAGAUUUGCUCUGGUGAUGUUUCAUAGAGAUCUACAAAAAAAAGAUGGAGACGAGAAAUCGGUUGCCUCUAAAUAUACCGGCCGCUGCUUAUUUUUUAAUGUCGCUCGCGAUCACAACUCCGACCGUCUCAAGCUCUAAUCGAACUUGACCAUCGGCCGUCGGUGCUACAACUGGAAAAAUGCGCUGCUUCUCUUGCAUUUGAUUUAUAUUUAGAACCACCCCCACAUCCAUGAAAAAACGAUGUGAAUCUCGAGCACCACCGCCACCAAAAUUGUAACACUACCACUAAUUCGAAGCUACCUUGAAAGAAAACAAAAGUUUAGGAGAUCUCAGUCUCUGUAUGGAAGGAAAAAUCUAUAAAAUCUCGAACGAUAGUGUCAGUUCCUUCUAGUGUUGACCAACAUCCAAUCUGAAGGAAGAAAUCAGACGAAAACUCGAUGAUAAGAACAGAAGGAUAAACAAUUUCAACACCCAUCCUACCCUUUUAGCCCUGCAAAUUCAGUUUCCAAAUAGAUCAGCGAAUUGCUCCUUUUAAAAUACGCAUCAUCAUCCCUCAACUGUGUACCACUCCAUCACAUCUUUUCCACUAUUACUACAACAACCGCACAAUCGGACUACCGUCUCACCACCAUUGCACCUCCAGAAACCCUAGCUGUCACAAUCAUUGCACCUGUGUCAGCCACCCCAACCCAGAAAUGCAGCACUGCCACGCCUCUGUCUUUCAUUCUGUAUUCAUCAUUUCGAUUUGUUUAUGCAGAUAGGUUUAUGCCUUGAUGAGACGUCCUGCAGCUUCUGACGAAGAAAAACCUCCGACACAACUUGAAUUGAAAGAGCUGGAGCUCGAAUUUGAAUAAUGAUAGUUACAUUCCCCCUACAGAUUACAUAAGCAAAUGAAUAAAGUUGACUGAUAUUUAGACCACUUGGCCGAAGCACACCCAGCUCCACCGAGUUCAUCCCUUAAACAACGAGAUCUUGUUGUCUGACGGAGUGAAGAUUCUCAAGGAUAACAGUUUCCCUGAUCAAUUGCUCUCCAUCUCUGUCUUCUCAAUUCUACAUAUCAUCAUCCCUAAACGCAUUCCAUUAUCUUCUGCAUUUCUCAAAAGGGGUUAGAAGAAUGGGAAGUUGAUUUUAAUUCAACUCCUGCUUGGUUUUUCUUGUUCAUAUAUGUCGCUCUUUUUUCCCUUCUUAAAAGAAAUUCAUACUUCUUUUUCUCUCUCUUCUUUUAGACGACCACAAUGGAGGGAGGAGGAAGCAAGAUUAUGUUAUAGAGGUGGUUGUCAGGGAGGCGAUUGUGAACGGAGUGACAAUGAUUAUGGCCAUGACCAUCAAUCGAUGACUGUUUUGAUAUUGGGAGAAGGAAAUUAUAUAAUUGAAGAGAAAGGAAAAGAAAAUCCCCCAUAAACUUACCUAUUAGUACACGAAGAAGAUAGAUCCAUCUUCAAACAACGCUGCUUAACUGUGCUAUUUCAAAUUAUUCCACAAACACACAAGGGUCAAAAGACUAUGCAAAUGAUGAUCUGCUUUGUUUUCUAAUCUUUCAUACUAGCACAACAUUUAGAUUUAUUAAUUUUUAAACUUAUUUGUAUUUUAUGUAUUGAGAAUAUUAAUGUUAGAGAAAUUAAUUUGAACUUAAGUAAAGAUUUUGUGUUUUUCCAUUUAAAUUUAUAAAUAAAAUAAAUGGACCUAAUUAUUAAAUAUAAA